AGAGCGAACGCUGGCGGCAGGCUUAACACAUGCAAGUCGAGCGGGCGUAGCAAUACGUCAGCGGCAGACGGGUGAGUAACGCGUGGGAACAUACCUUUUGGUUCGGAACAACACAGGGAAACUUGUGCUAAUACCGGAUAAGCCCUUACGGGGAAAGAUUUAUCGCCGAAAGAUUGGCCCGCGUCUGAUUAGCUAGUUGGUGAGGUAACGGCUCACCAAGGCGACGAUCAGUAGCUGGUCUGAGAGGAUGAUCAGCCACAUUGGGACUGAGACACGGCCCAAACUCCUACGGGAGGCAGCAGUGGGAAUAUUGGACAAUGGGCGCAAGCCUGAUCCAGCCAUGCCGCGUGAGUGAUGAAGGCCCUAGGGUUGUAAAGCACUUUAGUUGGGAAGAAGCUGUGUAUUUUAAGAGAUAAUACAGUUGACGGUACCCAAAGAAUAAGCACCGGCUAACUCUGCGCCAGCAGCCGCGGU
rnacentral:rRNA from 1 species